AGUACCUUAGCAAAACCUUGCUAUCAGGUGGGCAAUUUCUUACGCGUAAAUAAAAAUGCUAUUGAAAGAUUAUGCAAGUGUUAUGCUUUAAAAUGCAAUUGGAUCUUCAAGUGUGUUAUGCUUUAUUACGCUAAAUGAUUUACGCUAUGCUAUUUACGCUUUAUUACGCCUUAUGUGAUUUACGCUUAUUUACGCUUGAAUGCUUUAUGCUAAUAAGUUUAUGCCUGUGUUUGAUGCUUGCGUCUGUUGGGGGAGGCCUCACUCAACAGUACGAUGCCGUGUCCGCUGAGGAGGGCCUUCCUCACGGCGCGAUGCCCGUGUCCGCUGAGGGAGGCCUCCCUCGCGGCGCAAUGCCAGUAUGCCAGUGUUACAGCGUCCGUUGGGGGAAACCACCCUCGACGGUACGAUGCUAGCGUCUAUUGGGGGAGGCCUCCCUCAAUAGUACGAUGCCGUGACCGCUGAGGGAGGCCCCUCUCACGGCGCGAUGCCCGUGUUCGUUGGGGAAGGCCUUCUCCACGACAUGAUGCUUGUUAUGAUUGUUGAUGAUGAAGAAUGCGCUCAUGCUAUUUAUGAUUUUGGAAAUGUUUAAUGAGCAAAGGAUUUGAAAGAACCUCAUGUCUCUUAUGCAAUGUUGUGACCUUGUUGAUGAUAUUAAGUUAUGCUUUAGUUUUGGCAACUGCCCACUAAGUACUCUUGUACUUAGCCCUACGUUGUUUAUGUUUGUGCAGGUUGAGCUGUGAUGGGCGAUGAAGUGUUGCUGAGUGGAGUUUUUGUCGAACUUAAAGUAGGCUCAGAAAGGAUACAUGUCUUCAUACAUGUAUCUCAGUUAUGCUUUCCGCUGUAAACACUGAUUAUUUCAGUGACGCCUUCCGCUGCAAACGCUGAUUAUGUUUUAGUCAAGCCUCUAGCUAUGCCUU
rnacentral:lncRNA from 1 species